AGGCACCCUGAGGGGAAGCCAUUUUGGUCGGUUAGUCUGUGAGGCUGUAUGAAAGCACGGCGCCAGUCGAGUGCCACGAGUUGAGCCAGACGGAAGGCUUUCAAAAUAAUCCUGGUAGAGGAGGCCUGAUUGAUACACCUUAGGUUGUGGCGGUGGGAACAGAAAGCAGCAUUAAAAGAUGCUGACUAUCGAUCUCCAGCUAACUGAGAGGUGAAGAAUUCACACCCUUCCCACAGUCUUACAGAUGACUCAUAGGAG